rnacentral:rRNA from 1 species
AUGGGGUGCACCACCUCGGUGGAGGCGCGGCGCGACAUGCGCUGGGUGGAGGCGGCGGUCGGCCCGCGCGCGAGGCGGAGCUUCUCGCUGUCGUCCGCCGACCGGCAGCGGCUGCGGGCCAAGGCCGCAUCCGUGCUGCGCAGCCUCGGCCCCGUCCCGGGCCGGCGAUCCGGCGCGUCGUCGAGCAAGUACGCGACCCUGUCGGUCGAGGAGAUCAUGGUGAAGUUCGAGAACGACCGCGCCUUGCGGGAGGUGCUCGCCCGUCUCAAGGAGACGGCGGCGGCGGCGGCGAAGCGGAAUGCCGCCGUCGGGCCUAGGACGAGCACGCCGACGCUGACGCCGCCCAACGAGCCGGAGGUGAUCAACGCGUGGGAGCUCAUGGCCGGGCUCGAGGACGAAGGGCCCACGCCGCGGGCAACGCAUCAUGAGCCCCCGCCGACGACACCGCCGUGGAUGCUGGCCGACCAGGACGUGCCCGUCGCCUUCGAGUUUGACCCGGAGAUACUGUCCAGCUUCCGGGAGGCCCUCGCGCAGGACACGUCGCCGUCACAGCAGCCGAGCACGGCCAGCUCGCCCACGGACAAGGAGGAAUCGGCGUCGCAGCAACAGGCGAAGGUCGCCGACGACGCGAGUGCAUGCACGCCGGUCUCGCCGCCCACCAGGGACACCGCGAGCUCACCCGCGGACAAGGAGAAGGAGGAACCUGGGUCGCAGAAGGAUAAGGACGGCGCCGACGCAAGCGCAUGCACGCCGGUCUCGGCGCCCACCAGGGGCAUGCCGGAGCUCGCCGGCAUCGUGCGCGCCCGCAUCAACGCGUUCCAAGAAAAGAUCAUAGAGCGGAGGACGAGCAACGGCGCCCGCGACGCCAAGGUGUUGGGGCCGCCGGGCGGCAGGCGGAGGGCGGUGGUGUACUUCACCAGCCUCCGCGGCGUGCGCAAGACGUUCGUGGACGGCUGCGCCGUGCGCAACAUCCUGCGCAGCUACGGCGUGCGCGUGGACGAGCGCGACGUGUCCAUGCACGCCGCCUUCAAGUCCGAGCUCGCGCAGCUCCUCACCGGCCCCAGCGCCGCCGCCACGCUCCCUCGCGUGUUCGUCCACGGGCGGUACCUGGGCGGCGCCAAGGACGUGCAAGCCCUGCACGAGGCCGGCGAGCUCGCCCGCACGCUGGAGGGGUGCGACGCCGCGCCGGUGCGCAAGCUCGGGUGCAUGGAGGCGUGCGCGGCGUGCGGCGACGUCCGGUUCGUGCCCUGCGAGACGUGCUACGGCAGCUGCAAGAUCUUCGUCCAUUACGAGGACGACGAAGACGACGGCGAGUUCCAGCGGUGCCCGGACUGCAACGAGAACGGCCUCAUCGGAUGCCCCGUCUGCUGCUGCUGA